rnacentral:rRNA from 1 species
CGCGAAGAACCUUACCUGGUCUUGACAUCCACAGAACUUUCCAGAGAUGGAUUGGUGCCUUCGGGAACUGUGAGACAGGUGCUGCAUGGCUGUCGUCAGCUCGUGUUGUGAAAUGUUGGGUUAAGUCCCGCAACGAGCGCAACCCUUAUCCUUUGUUGCCAGCGGUUAGGCCGGGAACUCAAAGGAGACUGCCAGUGAUAAACUGGAGGAAGGUGGGGAUGACGUCAAGUCAUCAUGGCCCUUACGACCAGGGCUACACACGUGCUACAAUGGCGCAUACAAAGAGAAGCGACCUCGCGAGAGCAAGCGGACCUCAUAAAGUGCGUCGUAGUCCGGAUUGGAGUCUGCAACUCGACUCCAUGAAGUCGGAAUCGCUAGUAAUCGUAGAUCAGAAUGCUACGGUGAAUACGUUCCCGGGCCUUGUACACACCGCCCGUCACACCAUGGGAGUGGGUUGCAAAAGAAGUAGGUAGCUAACNUUCGGGAGGCGCUACCANU